AAACAUUCGGGACUGGCUAUGUAAUUUUAGAUAAUGGUAAAGAGUGAUAUACAAUUAAUUUUAUAAAGUAUGAAUAAAUGGCAAAGCUGAAGAGUUUGAGUCCAUGUGUUCUGCUCUGGUUACCUCUCCUUUUGUGCCUGUGGUCAUUGGCUGGGUGUGUGAGCGACCCCGGGGAUCCAAGAUACCUCCUCUACUCUGUGAAUCCUGGUGAGGGGUUCAAUCUGAGGAGAGAUGUUCACAUGAGGGCAGCGACUCUGCUCAAGGAGCUCCAAGGGUCUGGGAUAGACUGGGUCCUCGUUCUUCCUCCGUGGCCACACCUCCUUCACUGGCGGUCAAAAGCCGGGCAAAGCGGAGUCAAGUGGGAUAAGUUUUUCGAUGUGUCCAGUUUGAGUGAGUACGUGCCCUCUAUUGAGUACGAGGAGUAUCUGCAGAGAGAGGGGCACUCUAUCAAUAAGGUUAUCCAUUUGCAAGGUUUUGCCGAGGGUUGGGGUGAGGGUGGCUUCAGGGAGAUGAGUGAGGAGCGUCCCUGCAUUGAUACCCCCCACUACCGACAGACCACCAAGGGAGACUGGAAAGGGAAUGUGUUCGGUACACAGGUUACUAUGACAACCUUUAGCUGUGUCAGUGUGCUGGGGUUCACUAGGACACUGCUGCCACUACUGCAACACCAGGUAGCAACUGUGAGGUCAGUGAUGUUGGAGAGAAUGGAGACAGUGAUGCACUCUGAGUUUGGAGGAUCAGAAUACUGGGCUGCUCGCUCCAGUAUGGUGUACGCCCAGCGCCUAAGAGAGAAGGGUAACCAGUUCAUGAGAACGCAACUGAACUAUGACCCCGGCCUAGGGAAUGGACGUGUGUCCCCUAAGGAUGGUGGUGGAGGGUACUUGUCUGUGCAUCUCAGGAGAGGAGACUAUAUCUAUGCACGACCAGACAAAGUGCCUUCACUGGAGGAUGCAGCCAGACAGAUCAACAAACUCAAGAAUGAGCAAAAUCUGGAACGCGUCUUUCUCUCCUCUGAUGCUACUCCAGAAGAAAAAGAGCUGCUGGGAGGUCUCGUGAGAAACCUGGUGUGGUAUCAGCCAUCCCACAGUGAGCUGCGGAAGUUUGGAGAUGGGGGAGUGGCCAUUAUUGACCAGUGGAUUGCUGCACGUGCCACAUAUUUUGUUGUGACACUAAAAUGUACCGGCCCUUGACUGCCGGAUUUCUUGGGUUAGCAAUCCUACAAGAAAAUUAAGUCCACGAAAAUUGUUUUUUAAUUUUGUCAUGCAAAGAUUUAUAAGCGUGGCAUUCCGUGAAAAAUUGUGCAACGAAAUGCUUUUAGAGGCCAAUCCACGAAAUAUAAGUGCCUUAAAAAUUUCGCGCUAUACAGUACGUCUGAAUCAACCUUCUCAUUUCGUAUUCGGGAGGAUCGUCAGUUGAUGGGCUUCUCCACUGAGAGCACAUUUAACCAGUUCUGUGGAAGUCAUGAUCCCCACUGUGAUAGACCCACUGUGUGGGCCAUACAUCCGUC